rnacentral:rRNA from 1 species
AGCAGCCGCGGUAAUUCCAGCUCCAAUAGCGUAUAUUAAAGUUGUUGCAGUUAAAAAGCUCGUAGUUGAAUUUCGGGGUUAGUAGGCUGGUCGUGCCACUGGUAUGUACUGGUCUUACUGAUUCCUCCUUCCUGAUGAGCCGUAAUGCCAUUAAUUUGGUGUUGCGGGGAAUCUGGACUGUUACUUUAGAAAAAAUUAGAGUGUUUAAAGCAGGCUAACGCUUGAAUACAUUAGCAUGGAAUAAUGGAAUAGGACGUUCGAUCCUAUUUUGUUGGUUUCUAGGAUUGGCGUAAUGAUUAAUAGGGAUAGUUGGGGGCAUUAGUAUUCAAUUGUCAGAGGUGAAAUUCUUGGAUUUAUUGAAGACUAACUACUGCGAAAGCAUUUGCCAAGGAUGUUUUCAUUAAUCAAGAACGAAAGUUAGGGGAUCGAAGACGAUCAGAUACCGUCGUAGUCUUAACCAUAAACUAUGCCGACUAGGGAUCGGAUGAUGUUAAUUUUUAAUGACUCAUUCGG